GACGACGCUGGCGGCGUGCUUAACACAUGCAAGUCGAACGGGAGUAUUGAAGAAGCUUGCUUUAGAGAUACUUUAGUGGCGGACGGGUGAGUAACGCGUGAGGAGCUGUCCAAUGCAGGGGGACAACAGUUGGAAACGACUGCUAAUACCCCAUAAGCCGAGAGGUAAAAGGAUUUAUCCGGCAAUGGAGGUACUCGCGUCCUAUCAGCUAGUAGGUGAGGUAACGGCUCACCUAGGCGAAGACGGGUAGCCGGCCUGAGAGGGCGAACGGCCACACUGGAACUGAGAUACGGUCCAGACUCCUACGGGAGGCAGCAGUGGGGAAUAUUGGGCAAUGGGGGGAACCCUGACCCAGCGACGCCGCGUGGGUGAAGAAAUCCUUCGGGAUGUAAAGCCCUGUUGUAUGGGAAGAGCGGAAGACGGUACCAUACGAGGAAGCCCCGGCAAACUACGUGG
rnacentral:rRNA from 1 species